GAUGAACGCUAGCGGCAGGCCUAAUACAUGCAAGUCGAGGGGUAGAUGGGGCUUGCUCCAUUGAGACCGGCGCACGGGUGCGUAACGCGUAUGCAACCUACCUUGAUCUGGGGGAUAGCCCGGAGAAAUCCGGAUUAACACCGCAUAAAACCACAGCAGGACAUCCUGCAAUGGUCAAACAUUCAUGGGAUCAGGAUGGGCAUGCGUGCCAUUAGCUUGUUGGCGGGGUAACGGCCCACCCAAGCUACGAUGGCUAGGGGAUCUGAGAGGAUGGCCCCCCACACUGGUACUGAGACACGGACUCGACUCAUACGGGAGGCAGCAGUAAGGAAUAUUGGUCAAUGGAGGCAACUCUGAACCAGCCAUGCCGCGUGCAGGAAGACGGCCCUCCGGGUUGUAAACUGCUUUUAUCCGGGAAUAAACCUAUCUACGUGUAGAUAGCUGAAUGUACCGGAGGAAUAAGGAUCGGCUAACUCCGUGCCAGCAGCCGCAGUAA
rnacentral:rRNA from 1 species